CGGGACUGUUCCAUUUUCGUUUAGCACAACAAAAGGGGCACUGCUAUUUUCUUUUAGGCCGAAUUCCGAAAAUAAGCUAUCAACAGCGAAAUAUCUCUCGUCAGCAGCCAUUAAAGCCAAUCCAUACUCCAAAUAUAGUGAACCUGGAAAGAAAAGCUUAUCUCAAGGAUUUGAUCGUGCUAAGGUUUGUGUUCAUCCAACUGCUCCAAUAGUUCUUUUAUUCUUGGAGAAUGGAGAUGUUUAGAGCUUUUUUGAAGAGUCCCAUUGGUCCCAAAACAACUCAUUUCUGGGGCCCUGUUUUCAACUGGAGCCUCCCUAUUGCAGUAUUGCUAAAUGAACACUACAAAUUUCUUUUCAGUUACCUCUGAUGUCAAAUCCAGUUUUUCUUGAAAACUAACACUGCAGUUUUAAAGGCAUUUGUAGACACAAAAACCCCCGGAGAUGAUAUCAGGCAACAUGACUGCAGUAAUGUGCGGAUACUCGGCAUUGUUCAUGAGAUUUGCAUGGAUGGUACAACCGCGCAACAUCCAUCUUCUCGUCUGCCAUGCCUCGAACGAGACCGUGCAGCUUUACCAGCUCUCCCGUUGGAUUAAUGCUCAACAGAAUUCACAGAAGAAUGAUGAAAACAAGACCCCAAGCAGCAACAAAGAGGACUAGUAGUACAAUAGUGAAGUCAUCAUUAUACCUUGAUGUUCAGUAAAAACUCUAAUUGUAAAAUUUGCUUCUUUCUCAUGAAGAUUUGUCUUUGUUUAGCUUA